rnacentral:lncRNA from 1 species
AAAUGAAGUGCUUCUGGAAUUUUAGAAUAUAUAUGACUUAUUCUUUUAUUUUCUCCAUGUUUUUCCCUGCCUCUGCCUCGCUGACUCCAGUGGAGAAAAAGUAACUACCGUGUUUCCCCGAAAAUAAGACCUCACCAAAGAAUAAGACCUAGCAGGGGUUUGGGGGGAUUGCCAAAUAUAAGGCCUCCCCUGAAAGUAAGACCUAGCAACUAAGGCUGCAGCAGAGUUCCAUUGGGAAGCACAGCUGCAGGGCUAAAGCAGCACUCAUACACACACCGGAGGGAGGGAGGGAGAGAAAGUGCUUGCUUUCUGUGCCUCCCUCCCUUGCCUUGCCUGUCCCCCAGCUUGAAAAACCUUCCGUGGCUGCUGCUGCGCUGCCGUUUCUUCCUUCGGAGACAAGGCCAUGCUGGCCAUGCUCCCUUGCUUCCCAGAGGCUUCUGAUUGGCUCCUGGAGCCAGGGCAAGGGAGGGUGGGAGGGAAGGAAGAGGGCUUUUCACUCGUCCCCAAGGCUUCUGCUCCUUAAAGGAAUUCACACCAUGAAAAAGAAAAAUUGAAGAACCUUGCCCUCCAGAGGGUCUGAAGCUUACUUCUUUGAAGGUUGUAUAGGACUUGUAAAGAUUGCACUGCUUCUGAUGUAUUUUUAUCUAUUUCUGUUUUAAGCUCCUCUGAGUAUAACUGGAGAAGACUAGGCAUAAAUCAAUAAUUACUUACAGUACUUGCUUACAGUUCAUUGACCAAGGUGAGAAGUAUAUGAGAGGAGUCUUAGUCUUUGACUAAGUAGAGUCUGGUUUUAAGAAGUGUGAUUGUGUUAUUGUUUGAAGGGAGUAGCAACCAUCACACUGGGCCCUUCUAAAUUGCCAUAUAACCCAGAACAUCAAGGCAGAUAAUCCAACUAUCCAGAAUAUCAAAGCAUACUGGGUUAUCCGAAUCUACACUGCCAUAUAAUCCAGUUCAAAGCAGAUAAUCUAGAGAGUGGAAAGUUUGUAGUUUUUUAGAUAAUUGUUCAGUUGUAAAUUAGUUCUUGCAUAUAGCAUGUAGUUGUAUAGUCCUUCUAGUUUUAUAAAUCUAAAAUUCUUGCUUUAUUCUUGUAUAAUUCCUUUUAAAAAACUUAUUCAA